rnacentral:lncRNA from 1 species
CACGUGAGAGGAGAAGGGAGAUUUUCCAGCACUGUUGGACCCUGCUGUCUUGCGAUCGAGAAAAAGGCGAGUUUCCUUUCAAAGAAAACAAGAUAAAACGUUCCAUGAAAAAGGCGUCCAAAGAUGCUUGCUCCGUCCUCGCACGCAUCGCUGGUGACCAUCGCGCCCUCCUCCUCAACUGUGCAGUCGCGAAAAAGCUGCGCUGGCUGGCGGGCAGGACUCCGUCCUUCUUCCUCCCGAAACAGCCUCUCUGGGGGAAACGACCCGUGCAAGAAAGGAAAGGAUCUUCAAGACCUGUUCGUCUUGGAUCCAGAAGCCACGAGCGGAAAGCCUGCAGUUUAUUGCAUGGAUUUUCACCAUUUCAAAGGGUGCAGAAGGCAGGGAACCAGCUGUGUCGCUCGGCGUCCUCAAUGCCCCUCUGCGUUUCGAGAAAGAACGUCGACGUUUGCUCCCCCAUGGCGUCCGAUUCACUCCUGUUGUUCGCGGCGCUAUGGGGGGACGCUUUAGUCAGGAUCUGCAUAGGAAGAGACAGUGUUCUCCUUCUCUGACAGGCUGUUUUCAGGGCCUACGGGGAGUCUUGAGGGGAAGUGCACAUGUCUUUUGACGUAGGUUCUUCAACGUGGAUGAAAACAUGAUCAACGAAUUCCAAUCUUCUCCGGAAGCCAGCAUCAGAGGGCGCCGAUAUGCGUCUGCCCCUCUUCGGAGACAGUGCGACAACGAGCCCCAGAGAUCAACAAAGCUAAACUCUCUCUCCUCCCUUCGUACGUGCGUCUUUCUCCCGCGAAGAACAAAGCUGGAGGAAUCGAGAGGCUUCCCUCUUGUGCACUGAGAAGGAAGCGAGGAGUCAUCUAUGUUACAAGCGCGCCGGCAAACAGACUCUCCCCCAAGUCCCAGCACAAAAACUCGAAAAUGACUACUCA